AGUAGCCCAGACCUAAAUUCAGGAAUGCCAUAAUUGGCAGAUGAUUCUUUCUUUUCAUAGUGUUAAGGAUUAGUUGUAAAUAGAGUUCUAUUAGUAGUUAGAUUCCUAAUUAGUUUAUGAUUUGUAUUCCUAAUUAGCUAGGUAGCAUAGGAAUUCCUUAUAUAUAGACCUAUGUAAUCGAUUGAUGAGAUACAAGAAAUACAAUUACAAGAUAAUCUCUCAACACAUAGGAAUACAGUUGCCUUUUCUUUUAUAAGUCGGAGGUGUAUUUCUUGAUGUGGCAUCCAUUUUUAUAUUUCAUGAUUAGCAUCAGUAUCAUGACCGAGUUGUGAUAAAUUAUGUUUAACAGAAUAGAAAAAUCCAAAAUC